rnacentral:rRNA from 1 species
CCCUUAGAUGUUCUGGGCCGCACGCGUGCUACACUGAGUAAUUCAAUGGGUAAGGGAACGCUAGAGCAUUACCUAAUCUUGAAAUUUGCUCGUGAUGGGGAUCGACGGUUGCAAUUUUCCGUCGUGAACGAGGAAUACCUUGUAGGCGCAUGUCAUCAUCAUGCGCCGAAUACGUCCCUGCCCCUUGUACACACCGCCCGUCGCUCCUACCGAUUGAGUGAUCCGGUGAGGCUCUGGGACCUGGACGGAAAGAGCGUUUCGCUUGUUCUGUUUGGGAAACUUGGUCGAACCUUAUCAUUUAGAGGAAGUAAAAGUCGUAACA